UUACACACACGCGCGCGCUCGCACAGGCAUGUAUGUAAAUCAAUCUUAUCAACAAAAUUUGCUUUGCUUUGCUCAGCAAGUUUACAAAUAUUGCAAGUAUAAGCAUUGUUUUUAAAAAUUUAAGCACACAAUUUUCGAUGCUUUUACCUGUUUGUGCAAACCACGCAUUCCUCGUAUGUCCUCGCGAUAGUUGACCCCGGAUUUGUUUGAGGAAGAGUGUCAAGAUUGUCAAGAGGGAUUGGCGCUAACGACGCUUCGAAUUGCAAAGUUUUCUGCCUUUGGUCGAGAUGAUUAAUCAGUUGGGACCUCACUAAAAAUAAUCCCGGAAACGCAAAUUCGCACAGCUUCAAUAUCAGAGACGAUGCUCCUCUUUCAUAAGCGAUCAACAAGUUGAAUAUAACUGAAACGCCGUUAAUAAAGCGAUGAAAAUGAUAAAUCGCAACGGUUCCACCCCCGUCCGAGCACCGUAUUGCGUUAUUAAAACUUUACUAAUGGGCAAUAAUAAGCACCAGCCUUGGCCAAGAUUGAUAUUAAAUCGUAAACUGUUUCGUCCUCAUUUAUCAUUAUCACGAUGCAAGUCCGUUGAACUCUUUAAAUCUUGAAUCCGCGAAGAAUUCUUGCCAAGCGGACUUUUAUAGAGAGAUGUCGAAACAUCGACAAUCCUCUGUAAGGACAACAAAAUUCAUGAAGUGAUAUGACAGAUCCAUGUGUGUGAUCUCACGGUAAUCGUCACUUGGAUGAUCACACAUUCGUCCGGUAGCCGAAAGGACUCGUCGUUGACGAAGCAGGCCCUCUUCGAGGAUAGCCGUGGGUGUAAAGGGGGUGUCAUGCCGGCAGACUGGGAAAAGUGAUUGAUCGUGUUUCGCCGGAAGACAAGAGCAGAAGACUCGGGGCAGAACCGGAGGAAAGGAGCAAGACGACGAAAGUAGAGAUGGCGUAAGAUGGCGGUGGAUGAGGAAAGAGAGAAGGACAGCAGUUCCCCGAGCGUCGUCGGUGAUAAAGACGAGGAGGUUGUGUCGCAAAACGAGGAGACAACCCCCUCUAGCCUCCUCUACGUCAUUCAGCGGCCCCUUCAACCCCUCUGGACUCUUCCAGAUUCCACUCAAAGCUCCGCUCUCCUGCUUGGAGCGACAUGAAGUGGCCAUAAGAAAAAUAGAAAUAAGCCGCGGCGUAUCCGAGUAAACGAAGAACUAACUCGAGAGGGAAAGAGAGAUCUCGUAAAAACGGGCGAUGCGUUUUCAGCCUUUCUGAAACGUUCAAUCCUAAAUCAUCUCUAUUUUCUCUAUUUAGCGCGUAUCCGACAUUAAUUAAAGGGCAUUAAACGAUAAGAAACAUUUUUCGUUCAAAAGCUUGAAUUUUAAAUUAAAAUCUAUUUAAUUCAUAUGAAACGAAUCUUAGCCUCGCGUCGCUUUUGUUCUGUAAUACCGUUCUACAGUAUACUGUUAUUUCCUGCAGAUCGUUUAUACAGCACACAGCCAAUGUAGCUUAAAUUUACCGUGCUGUAUUGUCGUACCAAGGCAAAACACAGUGAGUAUGCUCUUUGUGUAAUGACUCGGCGUUUUAUAUUCUCUAUGCCACGCAGCUGAUCGCGAGUAGACGUACUUGACCGAGUACGCCGAGACACCAGUGCAUUAAUAUGAGCAAAGUGUAAUCGAACGGCAGAUCUAUUACUAUUAAUUUAGCCAAUUCCAUCUCGCCUUACGUAACAUCUUUAGCUUGGUUGUCAAUUAAUUAUAAAAUUAAAGAUAGUUGAUUUAACGAUAGCGUAAAAUACAUGUCUUUUUAUCCUUUAUUCAUUACCCCUGUUUCGUAAUAAUUAAUAUAAAAUUGAUAAAUGUACCUAUUUUUUACUUGACA